GACGUAGGUGGCAAGCGUUGUCCGGAGUUAUUGGGCGUAAAGCGCGCGCAGGCGGUUCGGUAAGUCCAUGGUGAAAGCGCCCGGCUCAACUGGGCGAGUGCCGUGGGGACUGCCGAGCUGGAGGGGAGCAGAGGCGAGUGGAAUUCCGGGUGUAGUGGUGAAAUGCGUAGAGAUCCGGAGGAACACCAGUGGCGAAAGCGGCGGACUGGAUCUCUUCUGACGCUGAGGCGCGAAAGCUAGGGGAGCAAACAGGG
rnacentral:rRNA from 1 species